rnacentral:rRNA from 1 species
UACGUAGGCAGCAAGCGUUGUUCGGAAUUACUGGGCGUAAAGAGUUCGUAGGCGGUGCGGCAAGUUUGGUGUGAAAUCUCCCGGCUCAACUGGGAGGGUGCGCUAAAUACUGCCGUGCUCGAGUAUAGGAGAGGUAAGCGGAAUUCCUGGUGUAGCGGUGAAAUGCGUAGAUAUCAGGAGGAACACCUGUGGUGUAGACGGCUUACUGGACUAUAACUGACGCUGAGGAACGAAAGCGUGGGUAGCAAACAGG